rnacentral:misc_RNA from 1 species
AAAAAAAAAAAAAAAACCAAAACCUUGAGGAGGUAAAACCGUCAAACAACAGUUAAUUGUUGGACAAAAGCGUCAAACGGAGUUUUGUUUUGGGUAAAGCUGUCAAAUGAUCUUUUAUCGAGAAGUGGGCUAAAACGUCCAGAAUGGGAAGAGAGAGAGGGAGAGAUGGAAUGACUCAACAACUUGCUUGAUUAAAAAGUAAAUGGUGAAAACCACCAAAUGCAAAGGUUAAAACCAUAAAAAUACACAACGUUUUCCCAAUAAGCCUUCCUUCCAAAGCAAAAAUUGAGAAAGCCAAUUCAGGAAAGGAAAGCAAAUGCUAUCUGGUUAAACUUUGAUUUAAGAAAUGAAUCUUAUAAGAGGAAAACGGCAACCGGAAUCCGACUAUUGCCUGCCGGAUCAGUUGCAAGAAAAUAUAUUUAAAAGCCUCGCCACAACUCGUACCGGCGAAGCAGCUGUGGAGGUUUCAAACAAGAGAGCAGAUGAGAGAGACGGGAGAGUGAAAACAAAGAGAGAGGAAGAGAGAGUUGAAACAGAUUUAUAAAAGAG